CUCAUGGUUUCACGGUAUUGCAAUGAGAACAAUUUAAAACCCCUAGCGAGAAUCAAGUGGAGGACAAGUCUGGUGCCAGCACCCGCGGUAAUUCCAGCUCCACUAGCGUAUAUUAAAGUUGUUGCAGUUAAAAGCUCGUAGUUGAACCUCUGUCUGGGGCUAGUUUUGGCUUUGGUCAGGCUAGUUCUAGGCAUCCGCCUACAAGACUUAGAGGGCAUUCAGUUGUUCACUAGGAGGAGUAGGCAUUUUACUUUGAAAAAAUUAGAGUGUUUAAGGCAGGCAAUCGCCCGCAUAUAUUAGCAUGGAAUAAUAGAAUAGGACACUUUUCCAUUUCGUUGGUUAUUGGAAUCGUGUAAUGAUUAAUAGGGACAGUUGUGGGCAUUUGUAUUUAAUUGUCAGAGGUGAAAUUCUUGGAUUUAUUAAGGACAAACUAACGCGAAAGCAUUUGCCAAGGAUGUUUUCAUUAAUCAAGAACGAAAGUUAGGGGAUCAAAGACGAUCAGAUACCGUCCUAGUCUUAACUAUAAACUAUUCCGACUCAAUGUUUGACUGGCUUAUAUAACCAGUUGAGCGUUGUAUGAGAAAUCAAAGUCUUUAGGUUCUGGGGGGAGUAUGGUUGCAAAGCUGAAACUUAAAGGAAUUGACGGAAGAGCACAACCAGGAGUGGAUUCUGCGGCUUAAUUUGACUCAACACGGGGAAACUUACCAGGUUAAAACAAUAGUGGGAUUGACAGUUUGAGAGCGCUUUCUUGAUUGGUUGGGUGGUGGUGCAUGGCCGUUCUUAGUUGGUGGAGUGAUUUGUCUGCUUAAUUGCGUUAACGAACGAGACCUUAACCUGCUUACUAGACAGGCGAUCAUCAAUCGUUAGCUCUUCUUAGAGGGACUUUGGUUGUUUUAACUCCAAGGAAGUUUGAGGCAAUAACAGGUCUGUGAUGCCCUUAGAUAUCCUGGGCCGCACGCGUCAUACAAUGACUAGUUCAGAAAGUUUUCUCCUGACCCGAAAGGGGAUGGGUAAUCUUGAUAAUACUAGUCGUGUUAGGGAUCGAUCUUUGCAAUUAUAGAUCUUGAACGAGGAAUUCCUAGUAAGUGCGGUUCAUCAGACCGUACUGAUUACGUCCCUGCUCUUUGUACACACCGCCCGUCGCUUCUACCGAGUGGGUGGUCCGGUGAGAUAAUUGAACUUCGCAGGUAACUGAGAGGAAAGAUUAUCAAACCUAUCCACCU
rnacentral:rRNA from 1 species